UACGGAGGGGGCUAGCGUUGUUCGGAAUUACUGGGCGUAAAGCGCACGUAGGCGGCUUUGCAAGUCAGAGGUGAAAGCCCGGGGCUCAACCCCGGAAUUGCCUUUGAGACUGCAUCGCUAGAACGUCGGAGAGGUAAGUGGAAUUCCGAGUGUAGAGGUGAAAUUCGUAGAUAUUCGGAAGAACACCAGUGGCGAAGGCGACUUACUGGACGACUGUUGACGCUGAGGUGCGAAAGCGUGGGGAGCAAACAGG
rnacentral:rRNA from 1 species